rnacentral:rRNA from 1 species
AUGCCCCGCCCCAAGCGCCCCGGCGUCGCCCUCCCACGACAUCUCGGGCUCCACCACGUUGAGGUACAGGAUGUCUCGGCGGUUCAGCUCCCGGGCCAUGUACACGGCCAGCUCGUCCGGGUCCGAGUCGCGGCAGCCGAGGCAGCUGGAGUAGGGCGAGAGGCGCACGCCGACGCAGUAGGGCCCGAUCUGGUUCGACACGGCGUCCACCACCUCGAGGGUGAAGCGGCAGCGGUUCUCAGCGGUUCUCAAGGCUGCCCCCGUAGCCGUCGGCGCGGUCGUUGA